GACGAACGCUGGCGGCGUGCUUAACACAUGCAAGUCGAGCGGUGAACCACUUCGGUGGGGAUCAGCGGCGAACGGGUGAGUAACACGUGGGCAACCUGCCCCCUAGCACUGGGAGUAACCCCGGGAAACCCGGGGACGUAAUACCGGAUAUGACUCUGAGCGGCGAUCUCUCAGAGUGGAAAGAAUUUAUUCGGCGUAGGGAGUGGGCCCGGCCGGCC
rnacentral:rRNA from 1 species